GUUUGCAUGGUGUAGUCGUUAUCACGUUUGCUUUACACGCAAAUGGUCCCCAGUUUGAGCCUGGGUGGAAACA